rnacentral:lncRNA from 1 species
CCUUAACUCUUGCUUAUUUUCAUUUUUUUUUGUUUUUUGUUAUUAUAUUGUUUUUUAGUUAUUGGAUAAUCCCUUAGUUUAUGAGUUUUUAAUUCUAAUUUAAUUUAGGUUUUAAUUAAUUUAAUUAGGUUUUAAAUUAGGAUAAUGUGAUCUUUAAAAAAACAAAGUGUUUAUCUAUAUAUUUGAAUGACAAAGAAAAUAAAAAAAUAUGUUUCAUUUCAUUUAAUUAGAAAGGU